AGAUACAGACAAAAGACGUAUACUUACUGUUAAAGAAAUUCAUGUGCGUAUAUAAAUGAAGAGGUCUACGGCCUAUCUGUUAGUGGUCAAGAAAAAAUGUAUUUUUCAAAGUCAAAGUAAUGCUAUAAUCAGGUAAUGUCCUUCGGCUGACCUUAGCGCGGGCGCCUGCAAUCCGCAAGACAAAUCUGUACUUUCCAAAUGUCAAGGUCAUUAAUUCGCCCUCUUCUUGGCAGCCAUUUGGGCAGCCGGUUCCUUCAGCUCAUUUGGGGUAUUUCUAAACAUGCCGGUUGUCCCAUGGUAGCCGGUGGCCCGUACGCCAAAAAUGAACAGCAUUUGAACUUCGCGCACUUGGACAUUGUCUAUUUUCGGCCUGCGAGCGUUGACCAAUCAGCGAGCAGUAAACAGUGACGUCACAGUCCGCGAGCCAAUCGCACGGGUCCACAUUGAGCACUAAGGCGGGUUGGCGAUCCUUUAAAGCUCUUUGCUAAUUAUUUCACUUACACGCUGCUGUUUUACUUGCUAAAGUGUAUGUACGGUUUCGUGCUUUUCACUGUAAUAGUGAUUGUAUUUCAGUCCCGGCCAUCACUUUAUAAAUCACGGUAUUUUUUCUAGUAUCCUUGUACCAUGUUUGUCGGUGAAUCAGCUGGGCUGCGUCGUCUGCUCUUCUCCACCAUAUAUCCGCUUAGUCAGGGAAUUUCCACCUCACCAAGGGCGUUUCAACCCUCUAAAAUUACAUAGAAUCUUAAGACAAAUAAAGACAGAAAUAUGUACAUCAGAUUAACCCCCCAAAAGAGGUUAAUACGCCUGUCAUACGUCAUGCGCAUCUCCCGCUUCAUUUGUUUUCCUUCAUAAGACGCCCGUACGUGGCCUGAAUCGCUCAGUGUUAUUCUUGCGGUGAUGAGAGACAUAUGACACCGGAUCGCUGUGGGAAAUCUCACUCGCUAAUCCUUUUGUAAUAUUCCCGGAGAUUACCAUUUGCCCACCUGUGCUUAUGAGUGAUGGUAGAAUUCAGUGUCGCAAACGAAGCGCCGUAACGCCACGAGAUAGCGCUGAGAGAGAGAAGUGAAUAAUGCCAGGGAAUCCACGUACUGUCAUCAGCUGAACCCAGAGGCCUCGGGGACACGUCUUUUAAAUCCCUUUCGCGGAGAUCACGAGGCCGCAGGAUAGUUGCCUCUGCCCUCAGAUCCUGCACGCCGCCCGGAGUGCCACCGCCCGUGCCAAGGGAGCCCUUCGUGGUGCCAGGCCUUAGAGGAGGAGACUUAUCUCCUUACGUCAUGUACUGCCUCUUAAUUGCGUCAUGAACACUUAACCCGAGCCCAGGAAUAUCCGGGAUUGUUAUUUAUUAUUUAUUUUUGUUAUUACUGUUACCAUUAUUAUCAUUCUUUGUUCCGGUGCGGUGCUCAGGGGAAGAGAAAGGAGCUGGCGAGGGCUCUGAGGUUGUCAGAGGAAGCACUUUUUAACGAGGCGCUUCGUAGUUCGUCUGGAGUCGAAGUAUUGCCGAAGGGAGAGCCAACAAAAGGUAGCUGAUCGCCCGCCGACACCGCGCACAAGCCACCCACCACCAUGGAGGACGGA
rnacentral:lncRNA from 1 species